UACGUAGGGGGCAAGCGUUGUCCGGAUUUACUGGGCGUAAAGAGCGUGUAGGCGGCCAAGCAGGUCCGUUGUGAAAACUGGAGGCUUAACCUCCAGACGUCGACGGAAACCGCGUGGCUAGAGUCCGGAAGAGGAGAGUGGAAUUCCUGGUGUAGCGGUGAAAUGCGCAGAUAUCAGGAAGAACACCGAUGGCGAAGGCAGCUCUCUGGGACGGUACUGACGCUGAGACGCGAAAGCGUGGGGAGCGAACAGG
rnacentral:rRNA from 1 species